rnacentral:rRNA from 1 species
GACAGAGGCCCCAAGCGUUAGGCGGAAUCACUGGGCUUAAAGCGUGUGUAGGCGGAUCGUUAAGUGUCUUGUGAAAUCCCACGGCUCACCCGUGGAACUGCUGGGCAUACUGGCGAUCUUGGGCCAACUAGGGGCAGCCGGAACAAGCGGUGGAGCGGUGAAAUGCGUAGAUAUCGCUUGGAACGCCGAAGGUGAAAACAGGCUGCUGGGGUUGCGCCGACGCUGAGACACGAAAGCCAGGGGAGCAAAUGGG